UUUGAAACUCAUCUUCACCAUUCAUUUUUUAAAUAAUUAUCAUUAAAGUAUGAUUACAAAAGAUUGCCUCGAUCUGAUAGCCCUAGUUAUGUCAAUCAAUAAAAUUUGAUUCGAUGGUCACGAAUGACCACAUAAUGAUCUGAUAGAUAGAGACCAUUGAUGGGUCCAAAAAUUUAUAAUAAUAAUCUUGAUAAUAUUUGUAGCAUACUAUCAAAAGUUUACUUCAAUCGGACAUCAUUAUCAUGG
rnacentral:lncRNA from 1 species